CCAGCCCCGUGGGGUGACUCGUCACUGCCUUUAGCUCGGGGAGAAAGACUCGGCCCCGGCGACAAAAUCACGACGGGAACGAGACACGAGGGACAGAAACAUGCAGAAACCCGCCAAGAAAACCAGGGUCCCGUCGAAUAGGAGGUUUGAUUUCAGGCUGCUGCACUCCUGAACGGGAGACGUCAUUGUCCACGGAGAGCGCGAACGGCCGGGCACAGCUCAACGCACGCACGGACACACGGACACAUAGCCAGGAGGAUCAUUAAACACAUCCAUCCCGAUCCAAAGCCAUCUAGCAAAUCUGCUUUUGGUGCAAUCUUACGAGCGCGUACACACGCUACAAACGCCCGAGUAAAGAUGCAUCCACAGGCGUAUAAACGUGCGACACUGUGUAUAUAUACAGUACAUUGUAUAUUCAGGAGUGCGAUACUGUGUAUACACACAUCGGUACGUCAGCUGGAUACGAUUACACUUUAA
rnacentral:lncRNA from 1 species